AAAAUAUGUAAGAUAAAUGAUUGGCAAUUUUGACUCUGAAAGUUUGGAACUUUCAUUCAUCACAAAAAAAGGAAAGUGAAAAGACAAAGUAAUACUUUUCAUAACAAAAAAAGGGUUAGAAUCAAGAGUAUAUAAAGAAAUCCUGUGAAGUAAUAAAGUCCAAACAACCAGUUUAAAAAGGGCACUAUAUACAGUAUACAUAAAUGGGCAAUAUAUACAUAUAUAUACAUAUACACACACACACACACACACACACACAUGCAGCAGUUAACCACUUAUCCAUCGGAGAUAUAUUCCAAGACCCCCAGUGGAUUCCUGAAACCACGGAUAGCACUGAACUCUCUGUAAACUAUGUUGUUUCCUUGCUGAUGUAUCUGUGAUAAAGUUUGAUCUAUAAAUUAGGCACAAUAAGAGACUAACAACAAUAACUAAUACUAAAAUAGAACCACAUAACAAUAUACUAUAAUAAAAGUUAAGAGAACACAGACUCGCUGCCUCUCAACAUCUCUUACUGUACUGUACUCACCCUUCUUUUUUUUAUUUUUGAUUUUUUAUUGAAGUAGAUUUGAUUUACAGUGUUGUGUUAGUUUCGGCUGUACAGCAAGGUGAUUCAGCUAUACAUAUACAUAUUCUUUUUCAGAUUUUUUCAUGAUAGGUUAUUACUAGACAUUGAAUGUGGUUCCCUGUGCUAUCAGUAGGUCCUUGUUGUUUAUCUAUUUUAUAUACAGUAGUUUGUAUUUGCUAAUCCCAAACUCCUGAUUUAUCCCUCCCCCCCUUUCCCCUUUGGUAACUGUAAAUUUGUUUUCCACGUCUGUGUGUACUCACCCUUCUUCUUGUGAUGAUGAGAUGGUAAAAAGCCUACGCGCUGAGAUGAGGUGACGGCGUGGGCACUGGGACAGCAUUACAGUACCACGACCUUCUGAUGAGACCACAGACGGCGGAUCAUCUACUGGGUGAUCAUGGAUCGUGAAGCCAAGAAAGUGGCCAGGGUUGGGGAUCCCAUGUAGAACAGAGCAGGACAGUGAGAUUUCAUCACGCUGCUCAGAAUAGCAGGCAAUUUAAAAGGGCCCUACAGGCUCCCUACAUCAACCCCAAGAAGGGUGGGCCAGGACAACCUCGUGACUACACAGACCCUGAGACUGACUUCAGUCACCACACUUUUCUGUUUACUUGUCGGGAGCUGGGUCUUUACUGUCUGCUUCAGAGGUAGGAGGGAGAGGACAGAAAGGCACUGCUGCAUACACAUAUUUCUAAAGAGCCUUCCCAUUCUCCUUAUUGCAAAGUGAAAAAUAUGGGUGGAAAUGGGCUGCCCAGCUGGCACCUUUUCCCCUGUUAGAAAAGUCUGCCCUCUCUCCAGGGAGACCCAGGUGCUCAUCAGGGCUCAUAAAUCGUGCAAUGAGCACAGGCAGGCUCAGUUCCCUGGAGCCAUCCUUUGGGUGCCUGGUGCAGUGUGCAGCCUGUGCAACUGUACAUGGCAACCCAUGAGAGAGAGGAGACCAGCCUCGGGUGCAGUGGGCUGAAGGCAGCUUUUACUCAAGGCUGGCUUUGCCAAACCUCCUGGUGCCAUGCUCAGAGGAGAGGAGGGACAAGGAGAAAGACAAGCCAGCCUACUCCCAGCAGCAGAUCUGUCCAAGAGAAAUGUGCCUUUUCCUAAUGCCACCAACUGUGCCAGAAGUGUUUCUCCACUGGUCUGUCUCUCUGUUGCUCUCUUCUCUCUCCCUCUCAUUAUCUCUCUCUGUCUCCGUGUCUCUCUCUGAUAGAUUCUAUUUAGGUUUGUUACAACAAAUAAAUGCUAUGCUCACAUAGAUGGCAUUUCGAAACUGAGGAGGACUUCAGAGAAACGCUUCUUUCAGAUGGUGGGCCUGAACCACGCCUGGGAUUGGCCAGGGACACCGUUGCCAGGGCAACGCGGCUCCAGCUUCCUGCCUGACUCCUGCAUUAGGCACCACCUUCACUGCCCUCGGCGACACUGCUGGUUAUUAAAGCACCUUGAUUAACUCAGCUUUGGUGUAGGGGCCGUCACCGUUGCUCCAGGGAUGAGCGCCCUCCACCCUCUUGCUGAGGGAAGCCCGCAUGCAGACAACCACCACAGUAUGCUUGUCCUCGCUGCGUUCCUGACAACAUGACGAACCACAGGUUCACAGGUUGCUCCCUCCCAUGUUACCUUUACUGCAGACGUCACGACACAUCACUUCUGCCGACCGCUACUUCAGAAUCACCCCAGGACAGCUGUUGUGCAGAGACCAACCCGCAUCAGAUAAAAAGCACAGGAGCCCCAUCUAAUCCAGCAUCUCUCCUUGGGCAGCAACUUAAUAGCCACCUGACUCAACAAGUCCAUCAUUACGAGCAAGACUGCUACUCAGCACGGACACCACCCUCGGUCGUUAGUUCUAAGAGCUGCGUGAUGACCGGGGAGUCCGCGGCCCCGCGGGACUUGGUCUGAGCUACCACUUCAUCCUGAUGACGGAAAAGCAGGAACGUGGAGGCUCGGUGACUGGCCCCCGGCCCAGCAGGAUAAUCAAUGGCAAGAUCUGAAUUCAACUGCAAAUCCCUUCUCCCAAGCGAGGGCUGUGGCAACCCCUGCUUUGCCUUUGCAACCAACACUAUAGAUACAUAAUUUCCAUACAAUACAAUGCAUCUAGUUUUUCAUUUUACUUUUUAUUGAUGGCUUACAAUGUUGUGUUAAUUUCUGGUGUACAGCAUAGGGGUUCAGUUAUACAGAUAUAUAUUCUUUUUCAUAUUCGUUUUUGUUAUAGGCUAUUAUAAUUUAUUUAAUAUAGUUCCCCAUGCCAAACAGUAGGACCUUGCUGUUUAUCUGUUUUAUAUAUAGUAGUUAGUCAAAUACAUCUAUCUUGUUUGUACUGUUCAAUGAGGUUUGACAGAUGUAAACAGUCAUGUAAUCAACACAACAAUAAAUAUAUGGACCGGCCCCAACACCCCUCAAAAUUUUUCUCAUAUGCUUUUGCAGCCAAUCCCACUCCCAGCCCCUGGCAACAGCUGAAUGGAUC